CCCUUAGAUGUUCUGGGCGGCCCGCGCACUACAAUGGCGCUUUCAGCGAGUUCCUAUGUUGAAUUUUCCUUGGUAUUCUUGGAAGCGGCGUCUUGACUUGGGAUAGAUCCUUGUAAUUGUUGGUUUUGAACGAGGAAUUCCUUGUAAUCGCGGUUGAUCAGCUCGCGUUGAAUACGUCCCUGCCCUUUGUACACACCGCCCGUCGCACCUACCGAUUGAAUGGUCCGGUGAAAUCUUCGGAUUGAGACUUUGAUUUCUUCACGGAAAACGCUGUUUUAAAAAGUUGAUUAAACCUUACCAUUUAGAGGAAGGUGAAGUCGUAACA
rnacentral:rRNA from 1 species